rnacentral:lncRNA from 1 species
AUAAAUAGCUCUCUUGCUGGCAUUGGCUCCGAUUAGGCCCCUAGCCUUGGAACUUUGAUAUGCUGCAGGUGCCUAAAAGGAAAAAACAAACAAGAGUCCAAACAAAAUCUAAAAAACCUUGCACUGAGCGGUAACCACAGAGGAGUCACUGGCUGAUUGCAACACUACAGGUGAUCCCGCUCACCCAUCCCCACCCCCACCCCAUCCCCACCCCCAUGCCAGCAACCCAGGAUUAAGCCUUGUCUUUUGUGCUCAGUAACUUCCUGCUUUCGCUUUUGGAGAUGUGUCAGCUCCAGCCCCACACAGCUUAACCUCAGCCUCCCUGCGUGUUUCAGUGCUUCAGGCUCUGCUCCAAGAACCUGGGAGGAGCCUCCUCAACUCUGUCUAUGAUGUUGGGUCAGCGUGUUCGCCAAUUUGGUGAGAAACUGGUCCGAAGGCGGCCACUGGAGCCGAGGAACGAGUCUGAGAUUCCCACACCUCAUCUCAACAGCUUCGACCUAGUGGUCUUUGGUGUGAACAGAACCCUGAGGGCUGGUGUGUACAUCCUAGCUGGUGCCGUGGCUGUCUAUGUAACAAUGGGACAACUGCAUGCC